rnacentral:rRNA from 1 species
AACGAACGCUGGCGGCGUGCCUAAUAUAUGCAAGUCGAGCGCGAAAGGAGCAAUCCGAGUAGAGCGGCGCACGGGUGCGUAACACGUGGGUAAUCUGCCUCAGGGUUGAGGAUAACCUUCCGAAAGGUUGGCUAAUACUCGGUAAGCUUACGGUGACUUCGGUCGCUGUGAGAAAACUAGACCUCUAUUUAUAAGUUUAGGCCCAGAGAUGAGCCCGCGGCCCAUCAGCUAGUUGGCGGGGUAACGGCCCACCAAGGCAACGACGGGUAGCUGGUCUGAGAGGAAGAUCAGCCACACUGGAACUGAGACACUGUCCAGACUCCUACGGGAGGCAGCAGUGGGGAAUUUUCCACAAUGGGCGAAAGCCUGAUGGAGCAACGCCGCGUGUGUGAUGAAGGUCUUCGGAUCGUAAAGCACUUUCGACCGGGACGAAAAACCUCUGGCUAACAUCCAGGGGCCUGACGGUACCGGGAGAAGAAGCACCGGCUAACUCUGUGCCAGCCGCCGCGGUAAUAC